rfam:Schistosoma mansoni strain Puerto Rico chromosome 3, complete genome
AUCCAGUUGACGAGUCCCAAACAGGACGAAACGCGCAUCCUGGAU